rnacentral:lncRNA from 1 species
UUUUGAAGAUUGUCAUCUCAGCUCGUGCUAUCUUCUCAAUUGUUGUCAAUCAUGAGAAUUCUUUUCAUAUCUAUCCGGUGCAUUUCAGUGUUGUUUUCUUUCUCGAUCCUCCGAAGGCCAUCACUUCAGAAGAUUUCUUCGUUCUCAGCUUUCAGCUUUUGUUCUCAAAUUCUUCUCAAUUGUUGUCUCUUCGUUCGUCUCUCAAUUAU